GUCGAGCGCCUCGCAAGAGGAGCGGCAGACGGGUGAGUAACGCGUGGGAAUCUACCCAUCCUUACGGAACAACUCCGGGAAACUGGAGCUAAUACCGUAUACGCCCUACGGGGGAAAGAUUUAUCGAGGAUGGAUGAGCCCGCGUUGGAUUAGCUAGUUGGUGGGGUAAAGGCCUACCAAGGCGACGAUCCAUAGCCGGUCUGAGAGGAUGAUCAGCCACAUUGGGACUGAGACACGGCCCAAACUCCUACGGGAGGCAGCAGUGGGGAAUAUUGGACAAUGGGCGCAAGCCUGAUCCAGCCAUGCCGCGUGAGUGAUGAAGGCCCUAGGGUUGU
rnacentral:rRNA from 1 species